AUUGAACGCUGGCGGCAUGCCUUACACAUGCAAGUCGAACGGCAGCACGGGAGCAAUCCUGGUGGCGAGUGGCGAACGGGUGAGUAAUAUAUCGGAACGUGCCUAGUAGUGGGGGACAACCAUUCGAAAGAGUGGCUAAUACCGCAUACGCACUCUGGUGGAAAGUGGGGGAUCGCAAGACCUUACGCUAUUAGAGCGGCCGAUAUCAGAUUAGGUAGUUGGUGGGGUAAAGGCCUACCAAGCCUGCGAUCUGUAGCUGGUCUGAGAGGACGACCAGCCACACUGGGACUGAGACACGGCCCAGACUCCUACGGGAGGCAGCAGUGGGGAAUUUUGGACAAUGGGCGCAAGCCUGAUCCAGCCAUGCCGCGUGUGGGAAGAAGGCCUUCGGGUUGUAAACCACUUUUGUCAGGGAAGAAACGGCUCUAGCUAAUAUCUGGAGCUAAUGACGGUACCUGAAGAAUAAGCACCGGCUAACUACGUGCCAGCCGCCGCCGUAA
rnacentral:rRNA from 1 species